UACGGAGGGUGCAAGCGUUAUCCGGAUUCACUGGGUUUAAAGGGUGCGUAGGUGGGCAAGUAAGUCAGUGGUGAAAUCUCCGGGCUUAACCCGGAAACUGCCAUUGAUACUAUUUGUCUUGAAUACUGUGGAGGUCAGCGGAAUAUGUCAUGUAGCGGUGAAAUGCUUAGAGAUGCGGAGGAAUACCAGUGGCGAAGGCGACUUCCUGGCCCUCAACUGACGCUGAAGCGCGAAAGCAUGGGGAGCGAACGGG
rnacentral:rRNA from 1 species